GCAGUAGCUCAGUGGUAGAGCUAUCGGCUGUUAACCGAUCGGUCGUAGGUUCGAAUCCUACCUGC
rnacentral:tRNA from 2 species